GUCAGUGCAGGGAUGAUGGGAAUGGUAGUGAUCAGUCAGUACAGGGAUAAUGGGAAUGGUAGUUGUCAGUCAGUGCAGGGAUGAUGGGAAUGGUAGUCAGUCAGUGGAGGGAUAAUGGGAAUGGUAGUCAGUCAGUGGAGGGAUAAUGGGAAUGGUAGUUGUCAGUCAGUGCAGGGAUGAUGGGAAUGGUAGUUGUCAGUCAGUGCAGGGAUAAUGGGAAUGGUAG